CCAACCACUGAACUACGGAAGUUAUCGUCCGGUCAAUGUUCAUUUGAGUUGCUGGUACAAGAUGAAAUUUUCAAACAUAUUGUCACAUUGCCAUAGUUUUUUGCGUGGUUUACUUCAAAAUGCUUUAUUUACUGUUGUUAUACAUCCAAAUACGUGAAAUUGUCGUCGACAAAUGUUUGAAGUUGGAAGGAACAGCAGCAACGCGCCGAAGACAUUUUGAACUUUGAAACAUGACAACCAAAAAACUGAGAGUUGUUUUUACUUUGGAAAAAAAGAAGCGAAGGACAAUAUUAAAUACUUAACAAAGAAGAAUCUACAUAUUAAAUGCAUGAAAGAGGAGCAUCGUCAACGAGUAGCAAAAGUAUGGUGGUCACUGUCUUCGCCUUCUCCGAUCGAUGUCCCAGUUCAAACCCCACCUGUCCCAUCGAAGGAUACUACGCUAAACCAUGUCCACUUAAGUCAACGUGCAAGUUACCGUAAUGGCUGAAAGAAGAGAAUGGUGGUGAAUAUUGGGGAAAGAAGGUAGAGAUGUACGGAAUACAGAAGGUUAGUUGAAAUAUCACUUUUUUUUUCUUAAUUUUACAAAGAGUUUAGUACCUGCAGUCCACUGAAGCCGAUAAUAUUUUCUCCUGAACUAAAUGUUCAAGAUACCAAUUUGUUUUGGAACUUUUAUUUAACACUUUUCAUUAAUGAAUUUUUAAUAAACAACGAUUGCUGCAACACAAAGCUACCUUACAGGUAUAAAACUUUACUAGUUGAUGAAGGGUGUUUUCAACUUGAAAUAAAGAAGGGAAAUCAAGCAUGAUUUCUGCUUUAUGGUAUAAUUUUUGUAAAGCGCAAAAUAACUCAAAUAUUAUAGUCAAAAACCAAUGAUUAUAAAAUA